rnacentral:rRNA from 1 species
UACGAAGGGGGCUAGCGUUGCUCGGAAUCACUGGGCGUAAAGCGCACGUAGGCGGGUCGUUAAGUCAGGGGUGAAAUCCCGGAGCUCAACUCCGGAACUGCCUUUGAUACUGGCGAUCUUGAGUUCGAGAGAGGUGAGUGGAACUGCGAGUGUAGAGGUGAAAUUCGUAGAUAUUCGCAAGAACACCAGUGGCGAAGGCGGACUCACUGGUCCGGUUCUGACGCUGAGGCGCGAAAGCGUGGGUAGCAAACAGG